rnacentral:piRNA from 1 species
GCUGCAAGACACGUGCUCUGAUGGGGAGG